GAUCGGUACGGGCAGGGCUUGUUCAUUCACAACUCGCCGUUUCGCAGGGCGAACGCAAGGCGGCCGUGAGACGGGAUAUUUUGGGACCUAAUGACGCAUCCGCCGGAUGCGUCGCAAUAACUGCGNNNNNNNNUUUUCUUUCGCGCCGAUUUCGGGGAUCAUCGUGUCAUAAAAAUAGAACAAGACAGGUUCGGACAUCGUCACGAACCGCCAAGGGAGAGAUGUUCAAUGGCUUAUCGAUCCGGA
rnacentral:misc_RNA from 1 species